rnacentral:SRP_RNA from 1 species
GCUGCGGGGGAUUGUAACCCGAGUGGGAGCAUGAAUGUGAUGGGACAUGGGUUCGGUUCUUGCGCAUCGGGCCUGCUGUGUCUCUCUUCUGGCUCGCCCAUCCCAAGCCGAGAGUCGAUCCAUGCGGGCGGACCGACGGCUUCGGCCGCUUGGGUACUAGAGCGGAGGGGUCCGCGUGAGGCUGGAUUCACCGGGUAGUGAAAACCUCCCGCUCCCGGCAGUGGAAGGAUAUCAGGCCAGUGCCACUCGGGUCCGCCAUGGCCCAAUAGGCCUAACCCUCUGAACACCCACUUUU